rnacentral:pre_miRNA from 1 species
AUGUGCAUAGGAACCCACCUGGAGAUCUUGUUUAAAAUGCAGAUUUUGAUUCUGGAGGUCUGGGGUGGGUGCAAGAUUCUGCAUUUCUAACAAGCUCUUAGGUGAUGUCAGU